AUGAGAAAAUGAUCAUAACUCCUAUCCUAUCAUCGGAGAAAAUGAAACACAAAGAGUUUUGGCAUGUUGCUCUCCUCAAAUGAACAGUGAAGAAUUUCUUGUGCCUGGGAUUGAGGAAACUGGACUUAAGAAGUCUUGGUCUUUUGCUGUCUCUCUAGCUCAUGGGCAAAAAUUGGUCUGUAGGUUCUAAGUUAAGAUAUGGGCAGAGAGAAGCAUGCAAAGGCAUUAUAAUAAGAUUGUGUAGAGAAUUUCCAGAACUGAAAUUAUAUAUGUGCUUGUUUUUUUUAGCACCCUGAAGCGGGCCCUUGAAGUCUUCAAGCAGCAAGUAGACAAUGUGGCACAAUGUCACAUCCAGCUUGCACAGAGUUUAAGAGAAGAGGCCAAGAAGAUGGAAGAAUUCAGGGAAAAGCAAAAACUACAACGAAAAAAGACAGAGCUUGUAAUGGAUGCUAUCCAUAAACAAAAGAGCUUACAAUUCAAGAAAACCAUGGAUGCAAAGAAGAACUAUGAGCAGAAAUGCCGGGACAAAGAUGAGGCAGAACAGGCCGUCAACCGGAGUGCCAACCUGG
rnacentral:sRNA from 1 species